AUGCAGCCCAAUAUGGCGACAGGAGUAUGAGCGGGUUUGUCGGAAGGAGUGGGUGUAUGGAAAGCAAAUCAGCUAAUUGAGCAGAUUUGUUGCCGCUCAAGAACGUUUUGAGUGGCUGAUUGGGCUGACGAGUCGAUAAGCCGGCGACCAGUGCACCGGUCUGCCUGCCGAAUUGAAGUGCUUUAUACGGAGUAUCACGGACCCUCAAACUCAACUCUGGAUGUCGAAGCCAGUUCCACUGCAUUUUUUCCCCCAUUGGAACCGAUUUAGAACAAGGACACCAGUGUCACGACUUCUGCCGAAGUCGGUUCCUCUCCUUGUUCGGGCGGUGUUCGGCGGUCGACGUCACCGGCCUUCUAGCCAUCACCGAUCCAUUUUUCUUGUUCCAUUUGUUUUGUCUUGUCUUCACUCACCUGGUUUCAAUUCCCUAAUUACAUGUUGUAUAUUUUCCCUCUGUUUUCCCCCCCAUGUCCUUGUCGGGAAUUGUUUAUUGUAAGUACGUGUGCUUUCUGUGACUGAUGCGAGACGAGUUUUGUGCCCAUGUGUUUUGUUAUUUUUGUAUGCCGGUAGUGAUGUACAUUAAACGGCUCCGGCUAUUA